rnacentral:rRNA from 1 species
UCUCGGGAGGCAGCAGUAGGGAAUCUUCCACAAUGGGCGAAAGCCUGAUGGAGCAACGCCGCGUGUGUGGUGAAGGGUUUCGGCUCGUAAAACACUGUUGUAAGAGAAGAAUGACAUUGAGAGUAACUGUUCAAUGUGUGACGGUAUCUUACCAGAAAGGAACGGCUAAAUACGUGCCAGCAGCCGCGGUAAUACGUAUGUUCCAAGCGUUAUCCGGAUUUAUUGGGCGUAAAGCGAGCGCAGACGGUUAUUUAAGUCUGAAGUGAAAGCCCUCAGCUCAACUGAGGAAUUGCUUUGGAAACUGGAUGACUUGAGUGCAGUAGAGGAAAGUGGAACUCCAUGUGUAGCGGUGAAAUGCGUAGAUAUAUGGAAGAACACCAGUGGCGAAGGCGGCUUUCUGGACUGUAACUGACGUUGAGGCUCGAAAGUGUGGGUAGCAAACAGGAUUAGAUACCCUGGUAGUCCACACCGUAAACGAUGAGUGCUAGGUGUUUGAGGGUUUCCGCCCUUAAGUGCCGCAGCUAACGCAUUAAGCACUCCGCCUGGGGAGUACGACCGCAAGGUUGAAACUCAAAGGAAUUGACGGA